rnacentral:lncRNA from 10 species
CUUCUACUGCCCUCACGCACACCCACACAGGCCCUUAACCCCUCACGUGCAGCUGCCCUCAGCUAUUCUCCGGUUUAGGGGCAUCACACCUCCACGGCUUAACCUCAGCAAAGCGUCAGCAGGCCUUUGCAGGGGUAGGGAAUGCAGGACCCCGCAGUACCUACAGACGGAGAGGCAGGCGCUACUCCUGGCACGUUUCCCGUGUGCGCAGGUGGCCCAGGGGAAGGGGUGACUGCUCGCCGUUGCUCCGAGCUUGUCUCUGGGCCCCGGAGGGCAGUGGGAAUGCCACCCUGAGCAGACGUGAGACUCACAGGGCAUCCCCAGGCGCACUCUAGGCUUCAGUCGUGCACACGUACACAUUUACUGAGCCUGUACCGUGUGCCAAGUGCUGGGGAUUCCGCAAGCAAGAAAACAUUCGGAGUCUCUGACUUCACAGAGCUAAAAUUCACACGGGAGGAGGCGGUCGGCACAUAACAGACAACUAGAGAAUGACGCGAGUUGAGAUGGCGUUUUUGACAGCUCCCUUCCAGAGGAAACAGUAUUGUUCAGCGUUGGAGGGCCUGGGUUCCCUCCAGCAGUCCCCACCCUUCCAUGAGGGCCAAGGCCCUGGAGCACCUGAGAGAGUGGCUGGCCUCCCGCGACCCCCACUGUGCGGCAGCUUCGGAGGUAGGAGUGUGAUUGGCUCUGAUCUGACGAAACCAGCCUCCUUAUUGAAAGUUGUGGUUGUCAGUCUAAUGGCGCUCUAGAAAGCUCGUGAUCUAGACCUGGCCAAUCAGAGCACAAGGAUUAGUUAAAGCAGGGCACAUGAUCUUAGGAUGGCCAGUCAGAGGCCAGCCUUGCACUUCGGAAAGAAGGAGCUCUCCUUAGGCUGGGAGGGGCCAAGCCGCUGGCCCGUGAGCCUGGGGCAGCUCUGGACUGUGCUUGCUGUCCUUGAGGAGAAUGCAGCCAGCCCAGGGCAAAUCAGAGCCAGGCAGGUAAGAGAAACGGCUGGGCCUGAGGCCAGAGCGCCUUCCGACCUUUGGGUUUCACAAGCCAAUACAUUCUUUAAAAAUUUUAAAAAUGUAAUACUAAGCUAGCUUGCAUCGGUUUUCACUACUUGGUGCAGUAUGUUUCUCUAUCCAUAUAUCUUCAUCACUUUUCCCUUCCUCUGGGUCCCAGGUUUCCAAGGCUAGCCUCCAGAGUGAGGAGUCAGAGCUUAGACUAAGCAUUCCUUAGUCAGAGCCCUGUUUCAGGCCAGGUACCACCUUCUUCCCUUUUCUUUUUGUUAAAACACACCUGUUCUGUGUUCCGUCUCUUUAGCGUCCUCCCCUCUGCCAGUGAUCAUUUGAUUAAGUUACUCAGGGUAUUGAUGGCUACGAAUUGCUCCCGAUAUCAGUGAUCCUGUGUGGUCUUUUUACAUUUGGACCAUAGUCCUUCAUGCCAUAAUCCAUGGAACUGGAU